GGCUUCCUAACAGGAUUUGAGUCUCUGAGAAGGAGUAUUUUGAAGUCACAAACUGCCUUGGAGGAAAAAAAGGAAAGCAGAGCUUCUAGUUACUAAUUCAAGCUUCCACCAGAAAAGGAACUUUUAAAGAAUAAAUUUAAACUAGGUUUUAAAGUAUGAUUUCCAGCCAGUUUUAUCACACCAGCCUGUGCAAGCAGAGCUCCCUCAGACCCCGUGACAGGCUACUGGAGCUGCUGAGACAGAAGUUGCUCAACAGUCAUGGUGUCCACAGUACUUAAUACCUACACGGUGAGAACAAGCUCUUCUCUUGUGGUCGUUCAUGGUCAUUGGACUCCUGCCUACCUAUACAUGACUAAUUGUUUUCAUUAUGUAAGCAAGCACAUAUAAUUGAAAAUGCUAGA